GUCAGUGUAGAAAGCCCAGGCAUUGUCCCAUAGCUGGCCCUGUGUGUUUGCACUGAUUCCUCAGAAUAAGUUUGCAGAUAGCUUAACUUCCAGAAUUCCUGAGUUUCACUAGUCCCCCUUCUUUAUGAUGAAUUGGAAAAAGGGUAUAUUCUGGGAUAAAGCAAGAGGAAACUGGGUGCAGCAAAGAUCCCUAGACCAUUUUUCCCAGUGGCCCAUUGCUCCUGCUGCUUUUUUCAUACCAGCUGAAUCUCCCUAAACCCCACGUCUGCGGCAAAGUCUUCGUGGUGAAACAGCCAGCUGCCAUGUGUCAGGACACUCAGGCAGCCUGUGGAAAGCUGCACAUGGUGAGGAACAGAGGGCUCCAGUCAAACGACCAAUGCCAACAACCAUGUUCCCAGGUGCUGCUGUUGCUGCCGGGGGUCAGAGGAUACCCUCUGAGAACUGGUGCUCUGACAAACAAUGGGUAAGCAUGGCUGUUGUUAGGCUAUCCUUAUCAGUGUGAGUACAGAUCAGAACAAGGGUGUAGAACAGAUUUCCUUUUGUUCUGAGCUGAAUGCAAACAGCAAUUACCAUACGUUGCACCAAUAGGUGGAAACUGAGUCUGGCCAUGAUGCAUUGCAUCCCACCUCCAGGCAGAAUACAGGAGGAGGGGUGGUUACAAUAGUGGGUG
rnacentral:lncRNA from 1 species